rnacentral:rRNA from 1 species
UAGGGAAUCUUCGGCAAUGGGGGGAACCCUGACCGAGCAACGCCGCGUGAGUGAAGAAGGUUUUCGGAUCGUAAAGCUCUGUUGUUAAGGAAGAACGAGUGUGAGAAUGGAAAGUUCAUGCUGUGACGGUACUUAACCAGAAAGGGACGGCUAACUACGUGCCAGCAGCCGCGGUAAUACGUAGGUCCCGAGCGUUGUCCGGAUUUAUUGGACGUAAAGCGAGCGCAGGCGGUUAGAUAAGUCUGAAGUUAAAGGCAGUGGCUCAACCAUUGUAGGCUUUGGAAACUGUUUAACUUGAGUGCAGAAGGGGAGAGUGGAAUUCCAUGUGUAGCGGUGAAAUGCGUAGAUAUAUGGAGGAACACCGGUGGCGAAAGCGGCUCUCUGGUCUGUAACUGACGCUGAGGCUCGAAAGCGUGGGUAGCAAACAGG